ACGGGCAAUCACAUGGCAAUUAGGACCUUCGACUCCAACCUGUCUGUGGGGCUCAAGUUUGAGACACGUCUCAUCUCUUUCAGAAGGAAGGAAAGAAGAUACCAGCGGCACAUCUGGGCAGUGUGUGUGAGUCCAAGGCAUCGAUAAGGACACAUUGUUACAUAAAUGGGGCGAGAGGACAAGGAAAUAGCCAGCAGCAAAGAUGCGGCGUAAUUAAAGUGCAUGGGGGUGUCGGUGGGCUCCCUGCCACAUUUGCCAUUGACUUUCAACCAGAUGAGGAAGGUCAGCAACAAGGUGUUUAGAGCAAUCUCUGCAAAUUGUUGGACUGAGGCUUGAUAAUCUCCAAGGCUUUAAUGGAUCUCAGAUCUGUUUACCAAGAGUUCAUCUCAAGCCAUUUUGGAUGUCGGAGGUAAACUUGCCGCUCUGCCGCCAAACGCAGAGAGCUCAGAGCUUUCCAGGAGACGACGGCAGCAUCUUCAGCGUGUGAUAACGUCGACGCACUUGAGCUCCGCAGGAGGAGGGGCACACACAGCACCAGGGACAGCGACUCAUUUCAGUACCAAGAAAAGCUCGCCGAAAUCUUCUGUGACUGUCACCUUGUUGCAGAAUGUGGCACAUUCUGGUCAGAUCCACGCAACUGGAUGAAAACUACAGGCUGCCCACUCAUGUCUGGGAUUUCCUCAAGCUGGGAGAGGGGCUGGGGGUAUAAAAAAAAAAGGCAGGAUUUCGUUUCACGUGGAGGAUAUCGUCACUGGGCGUACGUCAGAAAUUUAGGGUUUAAAAAAGGGGGGGAAGAUGGGGUG